AUCAGGACUUAUGUACCAGUAGCGAAGGCGGCACUCUGCGGAAAAGUACUGACGCUGAGGAGCGAAAGAAAGGGGAGCGAACAGGAUUAGAUACCCUGGUAGUCCACGCAAAGAGAAAUGGGCACUAGGUGUGGGACUCUAUCGACGGGUUCAAAGCAAAAGCUAACGCAUUUCUCAAUGCCCCGCCUGGGGAGUACCGGAAAACAAGGCUAGAGCUCGAGGGAAUUGACGGGGGCCCGCACAAGCGGCGGAGAUCUCAAUGGCUUAAUUCGAUGCAACGCGAAGAACCUUACCUGGGCUUGACAUUUUUGGUGAGGCAGGUGGAGGCCUGUGUGCUUCGGCGCCAAGAGCAGGUGGUGCAUGGCUGUAAACAGCUAUCUCAAUAAAGAGAUGUUGGGUUUCUCAAUCCCGCAACGAGCGCAACCCCUGUCCUAUGUUGCCAGCGAGUAAUGUCGGGGACUAAAAGGAGACCGCCGGUGCCGAGCCGGAGGAAGGUGGGGACGUCUCAAUCUCUCAAUCAUCAUGCCCCUUAAAACCAGGGCUGCACACGCGCUACAAUCGGAAAAGUACGAGGGGCUGCGAACUAAAGAGGGUGAGCCAAUCCCAAGACGGAAAAGUCUCAGUUCGGAUUGCAGUCUGCAACUCGACUGCAUGUCUCAAUCGGAGUCGCUAGUAAUCGCAGAUCAGCACGCUGCGGUGAAUAAAAUCCCGGGCCUUGUACACACCGCCAAACACACCACGGAGGUCGGCAACACCCGAAGCCAGUGGCCCAACCCGCAAGGGGGGGAG
rnacentral:rRNA from 1 species